AUGCAGCCCGACAAGGAGUGGAAUGAGGAACUAAUAAGACAAAUUUUCUACCCCUUUGAUGCAGACGAGAUUUGCAAGAUCCGCAUCCCAGAGUCGGCCGUGGGGGACCGGGUUGCGUGGCGCCACGAGAAGAAUGAAGAAUUCUCGGUGAGAAGUGCUUACAAGUUGGCAGCAUUGAGUCUUCCCCAAUUAGCCCACAACCCUUCGAACUCAUCUAGUGAUCCGAAUGACCGAAGCAUAUGGGAUCUUAUCUGGAAGUCAAAAGUGCCAGGGAAAGUGCGAAUUUUUGGCUGGAGGGUGGCUACCAAUACACUUGCUACAAAAGAGAACAAGUGGAAACGGACACUGGAGCUGGAUAAUACUUGCAGCAUUUGUGGAAAUUGUACGGAGAAUGAGCAUCAUGCAGUGAUUAUGUGUACCAAAAGCAGGGCCUUAAGGGAUGCCACGAGGGAGAUAUGGAACCUACCUGAUGAAAGCAAAUUUUGGUAUACAGGAGAGAACUGGUUACAAGUACUGCUUGAUACUGAAUGCGAGGAGAUGCGCACCAAAAUUCUAUUGCUUAUCUGGCGAUGCUGGCACCUAAGAGAAGACUGCAUCCGUAAUAACGGAAGAGAAUCAAUUGGU
rnacentral:rRNA from 1 species